rnacentral:rRNA from 1 species
UACAGAGGUCCCAAGCGUUGUUCGGAUUCAUUGGGCGUAAAGGGUGUGUAGGUGGCGCCGUAAGUCGGGUGUGAAAUCUCGGGGCUUAACUCCGAAACUGCAUUCGAUACUGCGGUGCUUGAGGACUGGAGAGGAGACUGGAAUUCAUGGUGUAGCAGUGAAAUGCGUAGAUAUCGUAAGGAAGACCAGUGGCGAAGGCGGGUCUCUGGACAGUUCCUGACGCUGAGGCACGAAGGUCAGGGGAGCAAACGGG